AUGAUUGCGAAUGGUUACCUUUGGUGCUGGCUCUUGUGAGCAAGUGCAUGUUGGUGGCUUUCAUCCACUACAACCCUUGUGAACCUUUGGCCUCUUGCUUGCUUCGGCUGGCAGAGGAUUUUUACACACACACUCGAAUGUAAUGAAAACAUUUGUUGUGUGCAAGCACUAAUGUA
rnacentral:misc_RNA from 1 species